UAGCACUGAGAUGCAGUGCCUUAGACCACUGUGCUACUCAGGAGCCCAAUGUGCUCUAUAGGGAAUAGGAUGUCUUUGGGGACACGUGCAGUCUUUGUUUAAAUAUACCUAUUUUGUCAGCAUGGUAAAUCAUCAGUGUCUCCCAUUAGGGCUUGACCUUUGACCUGACAUUUUUUUAUUGUUUUGUAAUAUAGGUACUGCGUGCCCAUGUCAUGCGACUACAGUUUCAUAUAGCUACGACAGCACUCACACGUCUUGCUGCAUAAUGAUGCCACGUGUUGAGCAGAACGCAAUCAUCCACUGUCUAUGGUGUUUUGGUUUGGGGAGGUGGUGGUCAGCUGUCUGUGCUCCCUUAGUCUGCGUCCAUGAUGUCAGAGUGUCAUACAUACAGAUUCAAAUAGGACCCUAUAUUCAGACUUGAGAUAAGUUGACUUAAAAAAAUAAAAUAUGCUGAUUUAAGUCCAUGUUCUCUGAAUCGGGCCGAUAUAGCCUAUGGUGUCUCUAUGGUCACACAUUUAGCCUGGAACAGAAUUGACUACCGGGGAUGAGAUUAAGAGUAAGUCACUGGAUAGUUUAGUAGACAUGGACCAGUGUGUAGGUUGUGACGGGCUUUGCUAGGUGAGUAGGGUGUGGUCGACGGGCUGGCUAGGUGAGUAGGGUGUGGUCGACGGGCUGGCUAGGUGAGUAGGGUGUGACGGGCUGGCUAGGUGAGUAGGGUGUGACGGGCUGGCUAGGUGAGUAGGGUGUGACGGGCUGGCUAGGUGAGUAGGGUGUGACGGGCUUUGCUAGGUGAGUAGGGUGUGACGGGCUGGCUAGGUGAGUAGGGUGUGACGGGCUGGCUAGGUGAGUAGGGUGUGACGGGCUGGCUAGGUGAGUAGGGUGUGACGGGCUGGCUAGGUGAGUAGGGUGUGACGGGCUGGCUAGGUGAGUAGGGUGUGACGGGCUGGCUAGGUGAGUAGGGUGUGACGGGCUGGCUAGGUGAGUAGGGUGUGACGGGCUGGCUAGGUGAGUAGGGUGUGACGGGCUGGCUAGGUGAGUAGGGUGUGACGGGCUGGCUAGGUGAGUAGGGUGUGACGGGCUGGCUAGGUGAGUAGGGUGUGACGGGCUGGCUAGGUGAGUAGGGUGUGACGGGCUGGCUUAGAGGUAGACAGAGAAAUGUAAAACAUUAUAAACAGUUUCACUGCAGUUGACUAUAUUAUAUUUGUCUCUAUCACUUCAUACUAGUCUGCUUCUUGAACAGUUUGGUAAAUAAAUAAUAUUUUAAACUGGAUAAUGAGGGCUGGGGGAAUAGAUGUUAGUAGAUAGUGAGGUAAUUGAUGUUAGUAGAUAGGGAGGUAAAAGAUGUUAGCAGAUGAGGUAAUAGAUGUUAGUAGAUAGUGAGGGCUGCGGGAAUAGAUGUUAGUAGAUAGUGAGGUAAUAGAUGUUAGUAGAUAGUGAGGGCUGGGGAAUAGAUGUGAGGUAAUAGAUGUAGUAGAUAGUGAGGUAAUAGAUGUUAGUAGAUAGUGAGGGCUGGGGGAAUAGAUGUUAGUAGAUAGUGAGGUAAUAGAUGUUAGUAGAUAAUGAGGGCUGUGGGGAAUAGAUGUUAGUAGAUAAUGAGGGCUGUGGGGAAUAGAUGUGAGGUAAUAGAUGUAGUAGAUAGUGAGGUAAUAAAUGUUAGUAGAUAAUGAGGGCUGUGGGGAAUAGAUGUGAGGUAAUAGAUGUAGUAGAUAGUGAGGUAAUAGAUGUUAGUAGAUAAUGAGGGCUGUGGGGAAUAGAUGAUAGUAGAUAGUGAGGUAAUAGAUGUUAGUAGAUAAUGAGGGCUGUGGGGAAUAGAUGAUAGUAGAUAGUGAGGUAAUAGAUGUUAGUAGAUAGUGAGGUAAUAGAUGUAGUAGAUAGUGAGGGCUGUGGGGAAUAGAUGUGAGGUAAUAGAUGUUAGUAGAUAGUGAGGUAAUAGAUGUAGUAGAUAAUGAGGGCUGUGGGGAAUAGAUGUAGUAGAUAGUGAGGUAAUAGAUGUUAGUAGAUAGUGAGGGCUGGGGGAAUAGAUGUUAGUAGAUAGUGAGGUAAUAGAUGUUAGUAGAUAGUGAGGGCUGGUGGAAUAGAUGUUAGUAGAUAGUGAGGGCUGUGGGGAAUAGAUGUGAGGUAAUAGAUGUAGUAGAUAAUGAGGGCUGUGGGGAAUAGAUGUAGUAGAUAGUGAGGUAAUAGAUGUUAGUAGAUAGUGAGGGCUGGGGGAAUAGAUGUUAGUAGAUAGUGAGGUAAUAGAUGUUAGUAGAUAGUGAGGGCUGGGGGAAUAGAUGUUAGUAGAUAGUGAGGGCUGGGGGAAUAGAUGUUAGUAGAUAGUGAGGUAAUAGAUGUUAGUAGAUAAUGAGGGCUGUGGGGAAUAGAUGUUAGUAGAUAAUGAGGGCUGUGGGGAAUAGAUGUAGUAGAUAGUGAGGUAAUAGAUGUUAGUAGAUAAUGAGGGCUGGGGAAUAGAUGAUAGUAGAUAGUGAGGUAAUAGAUGUUAGUAGAUAGUGAGGUAAUAGAUGUUAGUAGAUAGUGAGGUAAUAGAUGUUAGUAGAUAGUGAGGUAAUAGAUGUUAGUAGAUAAUGAGGGCUGUGGGGAAUAGAUGUUAGUAGAUAAUGAGGGCUGUGGGGAAUAGAUGUAGUAGAUAGUGAGGUAAUAGAUGUUAGUAGAUAAUGAGGGCUGGGGAAUAGAUGAUAGUAGAUAGUGAGGUAAUAGAUGUUAGUAGAUAAUGAGGGCUGUGGGGAAUAGAUGUGAGGUAAUAGAUGUAGUAGAUAGUGAGGUAAUAGAUGUUAGUAGAUAAUGAGGGCUGGGGAAUAGAUGAUAGUAGAUAGUGAGGUAAUAGAUGUUAGUAGAUAGUGAGGUAAUAGAUGUUAGUAGAUAGUGAGGUAAUAGAUGUUAGUAGAUAAUGAGGGCUGUGGGGAAUAGAUGUUAGUAGAUAAUGAGGGCUGUGGGGAAUAGAUGUAGUAGAUAGUGAGGUAAUAGAUGUUAGUAGAUAAUGAGGGCUGUGGGGAAUAGAUGUGAGGUAAUAGAUGUAGUAGAUAGUGAGGUAAUAGAUGUUAGUAGAUAAUGAGGGCUGUGGGGAAUAGAUGUAGUAGAUAGUGAGGUAAUAGAUGUUAGUAGAUAAUGAGGGCUGGGGAAUAGAUGAUAGUAGAUAGUGAGGUAAUAGAUGUUAGUAGAUAAUGAGGGCUGGGGAAUAGAUGAUAGUAGAUAGUGAGGUAAUAGAUGUUAGUAGAUAAUGAGGGCUGUGGGGAAUAGAUGUGAGGUAAUAGAUGUAGUAGAUAGUGAGGUAAUAGAUGUUAGUAGAUAAUGAGGGCUGUGGGGAAUAGAUGUAGUAGAUAGUGAGGUAAUAGAUGUUAGUAGAUAAUGAGGGCUGGGGAAUAGAUGAUAGUAGAUAGUGAGGUAAUAGAUGUUAGUAGAUAGUGAGGGCUGGGGGAAUAGAUGUUAGUCCAUUGUACAGAAAGAAGAGUGAGACCAUUCCCAGCUAGCACAUAACGGUCUGAGAACCAUAUGUUUCUUAGAUCUUGGUGAGAGCGUUGUCUUGUCCUAGUUAUUUCGCAUAAAACCUUCCCACAGUGUUCUGGGAAUGUUACAGGAUAUCCAGCUAGCACAUAACCAGAACCCUAUUUUCCUAUGUGGGAAUGUCAUUAAAUCAGCAUAACAUUAUUUUUAUACCACUUUUUUCGUAGUAUCCAAAUUGUUACAAUCUUGUCCCAUCGCUGCAACUCCUGUACGGACUCAGGAGAGGCGAAGGUCGAGAGCCGUGUGUCCUCCGAAACACAACCCAACCAAGCCUCACUGCUUCUUGACACAACGCUCGCUUAACCCGGAAAGGCAGCCGCACCAAUGUGUCGGAGGAAACACCGUAUACCUGGCGACCGUGUCAGCGUGCUUUGCGCCUCUGCCCGCCACAGGAAUCGCUAGUGCGCGAUGGGACAAGAACAUCCAUGCCGGCCAAACCUCCCCUAACCCGGACGACAAUUGUGCGCCGCCAGAGCCUGGACUCGAACCACUGAGCCAGUUAGGAGGCCCAACAUAACAUUUUCUACGGGGUGCCUCGUGGUUCUAUUUAAAGUUAUGUUCUCAAUUCAUUCAGAGAACGUUAAGGAACAACGUUCUUCUGUGGGAAUUUCAGUACUUCAUUAUGGUCCUAUUUAAAAUGUUCUCAGAACGUUUCCAUAAAAAAAAACACAAUAAAACAUUAGAAACGCUCAAAGUACAUAAGAAUGUUAUUUAAAAACCUAUACACUCUGUUCUCUGCAUCAACAAAACUCUCUAUCCUCUAUCUUGUGUUAAGUAUGUUCAGGUGUCUUGGCCACGCCCACUAAUUGGCCACACCUGAUAUUAAUGAGUGCUUGUUUGUUUUGAAAUGGGUUUCUGUUUGAAUAGACAAAAUGGAACAGAUUUGUAUGAGUUAAAAAAACAACAUGGCAUUCUAGCACCAUCCUGGUGGCACAGUGGACUAAUUCCAUGGAGACAAUAGAAAAUCAUAGGUUAAAAUCUCACUGAUGCCGUGCCACAACAAAAACAGUUAACCUAAGCUAGCAGUAUUAUUAAAAGGCUUAUAGAAACAUGUUGUCAGAACGUUAUUUAAUUACCUUCAAAUAACCAAUCAUUUCCGUUCUCAUAAAGGUUAAUAAAACCUCCCAGUAAAACUUUCAGGGAACCGUAGUUAAACAUUCUCAGAACCUCCCUGGAACAAUAGUAAAAUGUUCUCAGAACCUCCC